rfam:Drosophila persimilis strain MSH-3 cont1.008492, whole genome shotgun sequence.
UUUAGCUAUGAUUGUCCAAACGCAAUUCUUGUUGAUAUCCAAUACUCAAGGGUUGUGACUGGACAUCGCGGCUCGA